rnacentral:tRNA from 1 species
GCGGGCGUGGCGGAAUGGCAGACGCGCCAGAUUUAGGAUCUGGUGCCCCAAGGCGUAUGAGUUCGAGUCUCUUCGCCCGCACCA